GGCCAAGUAGCUCAGUUGGUCAGAGCAUUGUCCUAAUAUGCCAAAAUUGAAGGUUCAAUCCCUGGUCA
rfam:Myotis lucifugus cont2.22367, whole genome shotgun sequence.